rnacentral:rRNA from 1 species
UACAGAGGUCUCAACCGUUGUUCGGAAUUACUGGGCGUAAAGGGCUCGUAGGCGGCCAACUAAGUCAGACGUGAAAUCCCUCAGCUUAACUGGGGAACUGCGUCUGAUACUGGAUGGCUUGGAUCCGGGAGAGGGAUGCGGAAUUCCAGGUGUAGCGGUGAAAUGCGUAGAUAUCUGGAGGAACACCGGUGGCGAAGGCGGCAUCCUGGACCGGUAUUGACGCUGAGGAGCGAAAGCCAGGGGAGCAAACGGG